rnacentral:rRNA from 1 species
CACCGCGGUUAUACGAGAGGCUCAAGUUGACAACCACCGGCGUAAAGAGUGGUUAAUAGAAUAUUAAACUAAAGCCGAACACCCUCAAGACUGUUAUACGCACCCGAAGGUAGGAAGCCCCACAACGAAAGUGGCUUUAAUAAGUAUGAACCCACGAAAGCUAGGAAA